rnacentral:rRNA from 1 species
GCUCAGAUUGAACGCUGGCGGCAGGCCUAACACAUGCAAGUCGAGCGGUAACAGGGGAAAGCUUGCUUUCUCGCUGACGAGCGGCGGACGGGUGAGUAAUGUAUGGGGAUCUGCCCGAUAGAGGGGGAUAACUACUGGAAACGGUGGCUAAUACCGCAUAAUCUCUCAGGAGCAAAGCAGGGGAACUUCGGUCCUUGCGCUAUCGGAUGAACCCAUAUGGGAUUAGCUAGUAGGUGAGGUAAUGGCUCACCUAGGCGACGAUCCCUAGCUGGUUUGAGAGGAUGAUCAGCCACACUGGGACUGAGACACGGCCCAGACUCCUACGGGAGGCAGCAGUGGGGAAUAUUGCACAAUGGGCGCAAGCCUGAUGCAGCCAUGCCGCGUGUAUGAAGAAGGCCUUAGGGUUGUAAAGUACUUUCAGUCGGGAGGAAGGCGUUGAUGCGAAUACCAUCAGCGA